GAAUAAGUUUUUUAAGAGCAACAGGUGGAUGCCUGGGCGUUAGAAGGCGAAGAAAGACGUGAUAGGCUGCGAUAAGCCUGGGGUAGGCGCCAAAUAUCCUGCGACCCCGGGAUUUCUGAAUGGGGAAACCCACUAGAGUUAAGCUCUAGUAUCAGACACUGAAUACAUAGGUGUCAUGAAGCUAACCGAGGGAAGUGAAACAUCUCAGUACCUCGAGGAAAGGAAAUCAAACGAGACUCCCAAAGUAGCGGCGAGCGAAAUGGGAAUAGCCCAAACCAUAUAGUUUCGACUAUAUGGGGUUGUAGGGUCACUAUAAUAGAUCCAUGAUUAGACAGGGGAAGAGUCUGGAAAGGCUCGGCGCAGAGGGUGAAACCCCCGUACCUGAAAUCGAAAGUGGCUAGAGUGAUACCUGAGUACCGCGAGACACGUGAAAUCUCGUGGGAAUCUGGGAGGACCAUCUUCCAAGGCUAAGUACUACCUAACGACCGAUAGCGAACCAGUACCGUGAGGGAAAGGUGAAAAGAACCCUAGUAAAGGGAGUGAAAAGAACCUGAAACCUGUUGCUUACAAGCUGUGGGAGUUCUGCAAUAUGAAUGACCACGUGCCUUUUGCAUAAUGAGUCAGCGAGUUACUCUGUACAGCAAGGUUAAGCGAAAGUGUAGCCGAAGCGAAAGCAAGUCUGAAUAGGGCGAAUAGUUGUGCGGAGUAGACCCGAAACCGGGUGAUCUAUCCAUGAGCAGGUUGAAGCAAAGGUAAAACUUUGUGGAGGACCGAACCCUUAACGGCUGAAAACGUUUGGGAUGACUUGUGGAUAGGGGUGAAAGGCUAAUCAAACUCGGUGAUAGCUGGUUCUCCCCGAAAUAUAUUGAGGUAUAGCCUCGGAAUAGUUUGACGGAGGUAUAGCACUGAAAGGGCUAGGGGUCUUACCAGAUUACCAAACCCUAUCAAACUCAGAAUACCGUCUAAACGUUUUCCGGGAGUCAGACUGUGGGUGCGAAGAUCCAUAGUCAAAAGGGAAACAGCCCAGAUCGACAGCUAAGGUCUCCAAGUCCAUGCUCAGUGUAUAAGGUAGUGGGGGCGCAUAGACAGCCAGGAAGUUGGCUUAGAAGCAGCCAUCUUUUAAAGAAAGCGUAAUAGCUCACUGGUCUAGUGCCCC
rfam:Desulfovibrio litoralis DSM 11393 genome assembly, contig: EJ49DRAFT_scaffold00026.26